UUGUUGUAGGCAAACUCUGGUAAAGGCAAGAACUGGUCCCACGAGCCUCCAAAAUCAAUAACGCAGGCUCGGAGCAUAUCCUCAAAAAUCUGAAUAGUCCACUCGGACUGGCCGUCCGUCUGGAUGAAAUGUUGUACUCAACUGAACCUAGGUUCCCAAAUCCUGCUGUACCACUCUCCAGAAAUGAUAGAUAUCGGCACCCCAUGAAGGUGAACAAUCUCCCUGAUAUAAAUCUCAG
rnacentral:lncRNA from 1 species